UCAUCUUGUAAACGAAAUAUUGUGUGUAGGAAAACAAGUUAGGUUUCAUAAAAUUUAUGAUCUCUACUCCAUCAAUUUCGCCAAUUCAUUCUGUGCUAUGUAGUUGGAUUCACUUUAGUUUUUAAGCUUAUCAUCAAAUAGAGAGUGUUCUUUUACAGCAGUUCCUUGUAAAAUAUGCAUAGUGUGUGCCCAACAUUUUAAAGUUUGUUAAGGUAAACUGGCAGCAGGGCGAACAUCCUCUGCUAAGAUUAUUUUGAAGUUCAAAUACUGCAUAUUUCAUUGCUAUAUAGAGAUUAUUUUUUCUAAUGACAAAUACCUAACCCUAACCCUAACCCUGACCCUGACCCUGACCCUAACCUUGUAUUUGGCCUUUAUCAGUUAUAAAUUAUCCGUACUACAUGAGAAUGAAACAAAAUGCAAGCAUCCAGUUUCGAAAAAUUCACAGUUACAGCUUUGCUUUUCAUUCGCACCAGGAGAGUCGAUAUACACGAAAGAAACCCAAGCUGGAGUACUGGUGGCGAUAUCUUUAAAAGCUUGCUGGGGCCACAGUUUUUUGCAAUUUUGCGUGAACAACUGCUAAAAGAAUUUAUUUGCUAUUAUCACUAUCAUUAUCAGUGGCGGAAGUUUUCUGCCCGCUUCCCUCGCAGGGGAUCCGCAAUUUCACUUCUUGGGCCUCUAUAACCUUGAACAUACCUAAUGCAAUAUUAACAACUAUAAAUAAUUACACAAACAAUUUAAGACAAAAUCAAAACUGCUUGUAAGUUCAAUAAUUAAUUUCAAUUCAGUAGAAAUUAGCUGAACUUUCCAUAGAUUACUUCAACAUUAAAGUUAUUUUCAAACGUAUUUCCCACCAAAGAGAACAAUGAAACUGGGUAGAAAAAUGAAAAAAUUAGAUAGAAAACUGCAAUGAUAAAAACAGAAAAUGCUUUGGCCCCAUUCUUCUUCGCUGUCUCUGUGACUGUUGAUCAUCGUCUGUUUACGAAAACUUUAUAAAAAGAACUCCUUAAUUUUAUUUUCUUUAUUGUUAAAGACAAAGAGUUUUGCGUUUCAGCUGCGUUUCUAGUGCCCAAUUCAAGCAGCUCUACAGUAAGUAGGGUGUCAAGCUAAAAAAUCACAGGGCCGAAUCCAGAAUUUCAGCAAAGGAGAGGUGUGCUGUCCGAGGGAGGCAACCCAAAAGGAGACAAAGCCCGCCCGAGAGGGGGUCUGGGAGUUCCAGCUGUUGCUUUAAUUGUAUUUAUUUAAAUCUUCACUAGCAAUACAACAUAGUGUGGUGGAACAGAUUUUUCUUUUAUGUCCCUUUUUCCUUCUAUUUUGUUACCGUUACUGAUUCUGUUCGUUCUAUUGACUCUCGAUGCAAUGAAGUAGACCAGGUUAAAUAAAAAUUUUGGGCAGUUAGCUCGAUAACGCUUCUCAUGAGUUUUCCUAAGUGUCCCUAGCAACCAAUAAAAAUGCAAGUGCCUCACCCUAAAUGAUUUUAAUUUUGAUAGUUGUGUAAACCUGUGAACUGCGAUUUUCUGUAUUCAAUGUCGAGUGAAUUGCGAAGGAGAGUAUCCCGGCAACCCCUGCAAAAUUUAAGCAAGCUUGCAAGAAAAAAUGGCGACGAAUGCUUUGAAAAUCAAAGGACACUUUAAAGUGCACACAGGACUGUUUCAUGAUUAUUUCAAAAUGCUUGAAAGAAGAUGUCAAGUUCUCUGGAAAUUGUUGAAAUUGAAGAGAACAUUACCUCAAGAAAGAAAGCAAUUAUCAAAUGAGCUGCCUAUAUAAUGCCUCUUAUUGGAAGACAUGCUGAUUUUUUCAUUAAGCCACUGGUAGGAAAGAUAAUUUAUUGGCAAGCAGUGACAGUGGGGAUUUCAGGAGAUGUUUCCUUCCUCCUUAGUUAAGAAAUGAAGCUGCCGAUGAAAUGUUUAAAGAAAUGAGAAAUAUUGAGAUGUUUAAAGAGUUGGAAGCCCAUUUUCUGGGUUGGUUAAUUGACGAAAGAGAGAUUGUUUGAUGAAUAUUUCAGUAUGCUUUAAAGAGGAUGAAAAAUCUCUGGAGAUUGUUGAAUUUGAAGAGAGCCCUAUCGAAAAGGAGAAGACAGUGAUCAAAAGAGAGCUGUAAAUUUUGUAUUUUUUGAAGACUUGCUGUUUCUCUUAUUCAACCAAAAGGAGGGGAGAUAUUUUGUUUGCAAGAGCUUACAGUCAGGACUUUGGCUAAUUGCAGAAGAGCGAAUCAUGAAGGUGUUUUGUUGCUCUUUUAUCUGAUUGUACGUCUUACCAAAGUUGAUUGAUGAAGUUGCAGGCUGGAAAUGAUUUAUGAGUUGAAAGCCCUUUCUCUUGGUUGGCUGAUAAAAAACGGAGAUUGUUCGAUGACUAUUUCAGUAUGCUUUAAAGAGGUUGAAAGAUCUCUGGAGAGUGUUGAAUUUGAAGAGAGCUUUAUCGAAAAGGAGAAGAAAGUGAUCAAAAGAGAGCUGUAAAUUUUGUGUUUUUUGAAGACUUGCUGUUUCUCUUAUUCAACCAAAAGGAGGAGAGAUAUUUUGUUUGCAAGUGCUUACAGUCAGGACUUUGGCUGACUGCAGAAGAGAAAAUCAUCAAGGUGUUUUGUUGCUGUUUUAUCUGAUUGUACGUCUUAGCAAAGUUGAUUGAUGAAGUUGCAGGCUGGAAAUGAUUUAUGAGUUUAAAGCCCUUUCUUUUGGUUGGCUGAUAAAAAACGGAGAUUGUUCGAUGACUAUUUCAGUAUGCUUUAAAGAGGAUGAAAAAUCUCUGGAGAGUGUUGAAUUUGAAGAGAGCCUUAUCGAAAAGGAGAAGACAGUGAUCAAAAGAGAGCUGUAAAUUUUGUGUUUUUUGAAGACUUGCUGUUUCUCUUGUUCAACCAAAAGGAGGAGAGAUAUUUUGUUUGCAAGAGCUUACAGUCAGGACUUUGGCUAAUUGCAGAAGAGCAAAUCAUGAAGGUGUUUUGUUGCUCUUUUAUCUGAUUGUACGUCUUACCAAAGUAGAUUGAUGAAGUUGCAGGCUGGAAAUGAGUUAUGAGUUAAAAGCCCUUUCUCUUGCUUGGCUGAUCAAAGAAACAGAGUAAGUGUUUUUUUACUGUUUGAAACAAGUUCCGUGAAUGAAGUUUUCCUCUAUAACGACUUUAAUUGAAUUUUGUGUUUUCUAUUGGUUUCUCUUUUGGUAGAAAUAAGAAAAAUAUUUUAUGUCUUGUUUCUUAGCUCUUCAUACAAACUAACAGAGGACAGGACUUAUACUUUCUUGAAAUUAUAAUGUGCCUAGGUUUAUGUAGAUGGCACCUGAAUUGAGGUGCUGUUUUUUUCUCUGUGAAGUUUUUCUAUCAGCGAUUCCAUCAAACCUGUUUCUUAAGGAUCUUGAAUUUAAUUUAAAGCCUUUUCUAUCAUCUUUGGGCUGUUUAUAUGUUUGUUUUUUAAGGUUUUUUAUUUAUUUUCUACAGGAUUGCUCGAUGACUAUUUCAGUACGCUUUAAAGAAGAUGAAAAAUCUCUGGAGAUUUUUGAAUUUGAAAAAGAGCCUUAUCGAAAAGGAGAAAACAAAGAUCAAAAGAGAGCUGUAAAUUUUUUGUUUUUUGAAGACUUGCUGUUUCUCUUAUUCGACCAAAAGGAGGAGAGAUAAUUUGUUUGCAAGUGCUUACAGUCAGGACUUUGGCUGAUUGCAGAAGAGCAAAUCAUGAAGGUGUUUUGUUGCUCUUUUAUCUGAUUGUACGUCUUAGCAAAGUUGAUUGAUGAAGUUGCAGGCUGGAAAUGAGUUAUGAGUUAAAAGCCCUUUCUCUUGCUUGGCUGAUCAAAGAAACAGAGAUUGCUCGAUGACUAUUUCAGUACGCUUUAAAGAAGAUGAAAAAUCUCUGGAGAGUGUUGAAUUUGAAAAAGAGCCUUAUCGAAAAGGAGAAAACAGUGAUCAAAAGAGAGCUGUAAAUUUGGUGUUUUUUGAAGACUUGCUGUUUCUCUUAUUCAACCAAAAGGAGGAGAGAUAAUUUGUUUGCAAGUGCUUACAGUCAGGACUUUGGCUAAUUGCAGAAGAGCAAAUCAUGAAGGUGUUUCGUUGCUGUUUUAUCUGAUUGUACGUCUUAGCAAAGUUGAUUGAUGAAGUUGCAGGCUGGAAAUGAGUUAUGAGUUAAAAGCCCUUUCUCUUGCUUGGCUGAUGAUCAAAGAAACAGAGUAAGUGUUUUUUUACUGUUUGAAACAAGUUCCGUGAAUGAAGUUUUCCUCUAGAACGAGUUUUAUUGAAUUUUGUGUUUUCUAUUGGUUUCUCUUUUGGUAGAAAUAAGAAAACUAUUUUAUGUCUUGUUUCAUAGGUCUUCAUAGAAACUAACAGAGGACAGGACUUAUACUUUCUUGAAAUUAUAAUGUGCCUAGGUUUAUUUAGAUGCCACCUUAAUUGAGGUGCUGUUUUUUCUUUGUGAAGUUUUUCUAUCAGCAAUUCCUUCAAACUGUUUCUUAAGGAUCUUGAAUUUAAUUUAAAGCCUUUUCUAUCAUCUUUGGGCUGUUUAUAUGUUUGUUUUUUAAGGUUUUUUAUUUAUUUUCUACAGGAUUGCUCGAUGACUAUUUCAGUAUGCUUUGAAGGAAGUGAAAAAUCUCUGGAGAGUGUUGAAUUUGAAGAGAGCCUUAUCGAAAAGGAGAAUACAGUGAUCAAAAGAGAGCUGUAAAUUUUGUGUUUUUUGAAGACUUGCUGUUUCUCUUAUUCAACCAAAAGGAGGAGAGAUAAUUUGUUUGCAAGUGCUUACAGUCAGGACUUUGGCUAAUUGCAGAAGAGCAAAUCAUGAAGGUGUUUUGUUGCUGUUUUAUCUGAUUGUACGUCUUAGCAAAGUUGAUUGAUGAAGUUGCAGGCUGGAAAUGAGUUAUGAGUUAAAAGCCCUUUCUCUUGCUUGGCUGAUCAAAGAAACAGAGAUUGCUCGAUGACUAUUUCAGUACGCUUUAAAGAAGAUGAAAAAUCUCUGGAGAGUGUUGAAUUUGAAAAAGAGCCUUAUCGAAAAGGAGAAAACAAAGAUCAAAAGAGAGCUGUAAAUUUGGUGUUUUUUGAAGACUUGCUGUUUCUCUUAUUCAACCAAAAGGAGGAGAGAUAAUUUGUUUGCAAGUGCUUACAGUCAGGACUUUGGCUAAUUGCAGAAGAGCAAAUCAUGAAGGUGUUUCGUUGCUGUUUUAUCUGAUUGUACGUCUUAGCAAAGUUGAUUGAUGAAGUUGCAGGCUGGAAAUGAGUUAUGAGUUAAAAGCCCUUUCUCUUGCUUGGCUGAUCAAAGAAACAGAGAUUGUUCGAUGACUAUUUCAGUAUGCUUUAAAGAGGAUGAAAAAUCUCUGGAGAGUGUUGAAUUUGAAGAGAGCCUUAUCGAAAAGGAGAAGACAGUGAUCAAAAGAGAGCUGUAAAUUUGGUGUUUUUUGAAGACUUGCUGUUUCUCUUAUUCAACCAAAAGGAGGAGAGAUAAUUUGUUUGCAAGUGCUUACAGUCAGGACUUUGUCUAAUUGCAGAAGAGCAAAUCAUGAAGGUGUUUCGUUGCUGUUUUAUCUGAUUGUACGUCUUAGCAAAGUUGAUUGAUGAAGUUGCAGGCUGGAAAUGAGUUAUGAGUUAAAAGCCCUUUCUCUUGCUUGGCUGAUCAAAGAAACAGAGAUUGUUCGAUGACUAUUUCAGUAUGCUUUAAAGAGGGUGAAAAAUCUCUGGAGAGUGUUGAAUUUGAAGAGAGCCUUAUCGAAAAGGAGAAGACAGUGAUCAAAAGAGAGCUGUAAAUUUUGUGUUUUUUGAAGACUUGC